rnacentral:lncRNA from 1 species
ACAAGAGGUUGUUUGAGGGUCAAAAUUGGCAGCAGUUGGUGGAGUUUGUGAAGAAGAUGAAGGAAGGUGGUGGUGAUGGGAGGAGGAGACAAUUAUCUGAAGAAGACACUACAGGAAGUGACCUUUAUGUUGGGUUUGUCAGAAAAAGCAGGAAGGUUGAAGAAGUUUCCCUAGUGUAAAAUUUCCACUCUACAUAGGUACACAUAUAGUGUGGUAUGAAUAAUAAACAACAAAACAGUAUACUGUUAAAGCUUUUAGAAUGUGCAGAAAGAAAAGAUGAUGUACACUUAUGUUAUAAAAUUUUCAUCUUCAAACUCUCAUCUCUUUAUAAUAUGCUAUUUGUUUCUCUUACAAUCCUCCUCUUUUCCCGAUCCUCGAUCAAUAUGCAUUUCUUGUGAACUGAAUUGUUUGGUAAAUUUUUCAUAUGAGAACACAUCAUUGUUUGUACAACAAUUGCUCAUCAGAGCAAAGCUCAAGAAAUUAUUACCAACAUUCUGGAAAUCGUAAUUGACAACAAUUGAAAUUGAAACAAAGAGCUUUUCAAAUCAAUUGGAUUACCUAGCUAUAUGUACCUGAAGAAGAUGUGGAUCGUUUGAGUUAUUGGAAUGAAGAAAGAUGUUCUGGUCGAGAAUGAUUUGAGUUGAGUUUUUAUUUAUUAGUCAUAUUAUUAUAUGAGUCCGCCUAAGACUCAUUAACAAUAACCUAGUUUUUCGCCACUAUAAAUACAUCUACUAACACACUCGUUAUUCUUCUCUUUCUAUCGUUUCCAUAGCACAACAAAAAUGGGCGGUGCAUUCAGUUUUCUUGGAAACAAACGCACUCGAUUCUCAUUUGCCGAUAAAGAAUGACUAGAGAAUUUCUCAACUAUAUGUAAGUCUGCAUUUUUUUCAUUACACAUUUUAUUUUGUUUUUACAUUCAUAUAAAUACAUUUAUUAAUAAAAAUUAUGGGGUCUGUUUCUUAAUUAUGUUUUAAUUUUGAGGACUGUUUUUACAAUUACCUGCUUGUAUUCUCAAUUUGAUACAAUGUUUUUUUCAGUGUGCUUAUCCAAUUUGUGAAAUGUGACUGCUCUUCUCUUCUCUUCUUUGAACGCUCUUUUCACCAGUUAUUUACAUCUAUGAUGUUUUCAUAUUAAUUUUGGCAGCAGUUGGUGGAGUUUGUGAAGAAGAUGAAGGAAGGUGGUGGUGAUGGGAGGAGGAGACAAUUAUCUGAGGAAGACACUACAGGAAGUGACCUUUAUGUUGGGUUUGUCAGAAAAAGCAGGAAGGUUGAAGAAGCUUCUUUAGUGUAAAAUUUCCACUCCACAUAGGUACACAUAUAGUGUGAUAUGAAUAAUAAAUAACAAAGCAGCAUACUGUUUAAAUCUUUUAGAAUGUGCAGAAAGAAAAGAUGAUGUAUACUUAUGCUAUAAAAUUUUCAUCUUCAAACUCUCGUCUCAUUAUAAUAUGCUAUUUUUCUCUCUUACAAUCCUCC